GACAGAGGGUGCUAGCGUUGUUCGGAAUUACUGGGCGUAAAGCGCGCGCAGGCGGUUCUUCAAGUCAGAGGUGAAAGCCCAGAGCUCAACUCUGGAAUGGCCUUUGAGACUAGAGAACUAGGGUACGGGAGAGGUGAGUGGAAUUCCGAGUGUAGAGGUGAAAUUCGUAGAUAUUCGGAAGAACACCAGUGGCGAAGGCGGCAUCCUGGACCAACACUGACACUGGAGGAGCAGAAAGCCAGGGGAGCAAACGGG
rnacentral:rRNA from 1 species